rnacentral:piRNA from 1 species
UGGCUCAUGCUAGAUUCAGAAGGG